CCCAAACUAAUUUUUUUCUGAACCAAAACCUGCUUUACAAAACAAAUACAAACUAUCUUCUCUCUCAUCUGAACCCUUCUCUGUUUUCACAUUCCUCAUUUUUCCUUUUUUUCAAACUUCUCUCCUCCUCUUCUUUCUUCAUGUUCUUCUUCUGCUAUUUUGAUUCUUUCUGCUAACAUAAUUUACGAAAAUACUUUGUGAUGUGUGGUAUGUGGUUUAACGGCGGUAGUAAAUUUGUGGUAAAGGCAACACAUUUAUGGUGGCGAGGGUGAUGGUGGACGGACCAUAUGAGUUCAAGCGAUAAACCUAUUUGCGAACUUUGUUUCGAUUUCAAGAUAAAAAAUGGAGAUUUGCUUUUGGGUGGUUGAUUAGAUUUCAAGCAAAGAAGAUGGAGAUUUGUUUGUGGGUUAUGGUUUUGUUUCGAGCGAAGAGUUUAUGGCGGCGGAUUUGAAGUUUCUGGCGAUUUCACAGCGAGAUAUUCUGCACAUGUUUUGUGCUCCAAACUAUCUUCAAAUUUUUUUUCGAUACUUAGAUUCGUUGGACUGGCUGUUGAAACCUGUCACGGAAAGCACCUUGCAGCUAUUUGUGCUUAUUUUCUAUGGAUUUCAAGCAAAAUAAAUGAUUCUCGACCGCUCUCUGUUGCAAUGUGCAAGUUUGAAUUCUUAGGCGGACAAAUCAAUCAAGGAACAACACUUCACAAAUCGGAAAUUCAUAGAAUGAGAGGUGCUCUUCAUGCAGGUAUACACUUUAUGAAGGGAUUAAUAGACAUCUGGACUCCAUUUUCAAGGACAUGGUUGUUACUGAGUUAGGUUGUGGAAAUGUAUGGAUCUCCAUUGCCAUCGCCGAGAAGUGGCUGCCUUCAAAGGUUUUCUUCAACCACAAUGUGUUUGUUUCCUCUUCACCUACUAUCUAUUUUCUCCGCUAAGAUUAAUAAAUUUUGCAGAUCUAUGACCUUGAUAUUAAUCCUAGGGCGAUUAAAAUAUCCUGGAUAAACCUAUACUUGAAUGCUUUAGUUGAAAAUGGCCAGCUCAUUUAUGACGACGAGAACAACACUCUGUUGGAUAGGAUAGAGUUUCACGAAUCAGAUAUUUUAUCCUAUUGUAGAGAAAAUGGAAAAUGCAUAGCAAUUGAAAACAAAUUACGUUACUUUUAUAUUUUUUGUUAGUGUUAGUUGAUGAUGAAUUUGAUGCCACUUCUCUUUCCUCAUGAUUUGUGUAUAUAUCAUGGUUCAAAUGGAAGCUGCAUUUACUCCUGAAGUCAAUAAUGAGUUACAUACUCCAAAUUUUGAAAAGUUUGAAGAGGCUGACAACCAGACUCAUUCAUCAUCAAGAGCUGCUCCAUAAAGGAAGAUGCUUUCAUCUAACGACUUUAAUUUUGUGGGAUACAUAUACAAGAACUUUGAAUCACUAUUGUAUCACUAAAUUUAAGGAUUUGAAUUGCAGAAGGGAGAUAUCUGGCCGUUUGAUAAUCCGAGUAGAAGAAGGAAAUUAUAAUGCAUAGUGAACAAUUCUCUAUUGAAGAUAGAAAUAAAACACGGGCUACUGGUUUUGAGGGUCAUGGAAAUUCACAACAUUUAUCUCUACUUGGUCUGAUUUUGGUGUAAAGAUAGCUGGUACACGAUAUGUGGAUCGGUACGAUUAAGUGAAUCUACAUUGUUGAUUAACUCAAACAAGGAUGCUGUCGUGGAAUAAAUGGGAGCAGAUAUUUAACCCAUGCCAUAAAUCUCUAUUUAAGAUAUAAACCAACAAUUGAUGAACUGCAUCAAUUUUUGGAGUUCCAUUUUCCAAGACAAUGGGCCCCUGUAUUUGGUGAGCUUGUCCUUGGUCCCGAUAGGAAGUCGCAUAUUUCUUUAUCUUUACAGUUCAGUUUCAUGGGUCCUAAGCUCUAUGUGAACACAACACCGGUUGAUGUAGGAAUGAAGCCUGUCACAUAACAUGUGAGAUUUUGAGGAAACUCGGCGUACCGCGGCGUUCCAUUUCCCUAUUGGUAUCGAAUUUCCCUCGUGUAGCAUGCGUCAAGCAUCCUAUAUUUGUUGAGGUUGUUAAUCCAGUCAAGGAAAUCGAGUUUGAUCCUUUGAAAUCAUAUUUUGUUUUGGCACUUCAAGUAAUUGUCAACAUGGAUAAAGAAAAUUUGGAAUCAACAUUUAAGAUAUUUGAAAUACGGGGCUGGUCGAGAGAUAUCUGUGUUUUGGCUUUUCAUAAAUGUCCUCAGUGUAUGAUGAUAUCGGAAAGAAAGAUUAUGAAUACAAUGAAGUUCUUGGUGAAGGAUAUGGGUCUUACUUACACCAGGAGACAUUGCUAGAUGCCUGGCUAUUUUGAACCGGAACUUGGAGAAGACGUUUAUCCCGAGAUGUGCCGUUGUUAAGAUUUUGCGUAUAAGUAGCUUUAUUUUGUUAACUGAGAAAAAGUUUAUGGAGAAAUAUGUGUCCCCAUUUCAUAAAGAUUUGCCAUUGUUAUUGGAUGCAUAUAAAGUUCAGAAGUCAGAUUGAUCAUCUGGUUGUACCUGAAUGCAGAAAUUAAAGUUUAAUCAUUAGUAUGUUAUGUUACAUGUUA